GACGAACGCUGGCGGCGUGCUUAACACAUGCAAGUCGAACGGUGAAAGCGGAGCUUGCUCCGCUGGAUCAGUGGCGAACGGGUGAGUAACACGUGGGCAACCUGCCCCUCACUUCGGGAUAACUCCGGGAAACCGGGGCUAAUACCGGAUAUGACCUCCUUGGGCAUCCUUGGAGGUGGAAAGUUUUUCGGUGAGGGAUGGGCCCGCAGCCUAUCAGCGUGUUGGUGAGGUAGUGGCUCACCAAGGCGACGACGGGUAGCCGGCCUGAGAGGGCGACCGGCCACACUGGGACUGAGACACGGCCCAGACUCCUACGGGAGGCAGCAGUGGGGAAUAUUGCGCAAUGGGCGAAAGCCUGACGCAGCAACGCCGCGUGCGGGAUGACGGCCUUCGGGUUGUAAACCGCUUUCAGCAGGGAAGAAGCCGCAAGGUGACGGUACCUGCAGAAGAAGCACCGGCUAACUACGUGCCAGCAGCCGCCGUAA
rnacentral:rRNA from 1 species